UACGUAGGGUGCGAGCGUUAAUCGGAAUUACUGGGCGUAAAGCGUGCGCAGGCGGCGCGUUAAGACAGGUGUGAAAUCCCCGGGCUCAACCUGGGAACUGCAUUUGUGACUGCAUGGCUUGAGUGCGGCAGAGGGGGAUGGAAUUCCGCGUGUAGCAGUGAAAUGCGUAGAUAUGCGGAGGAACACCGAUGGCGAAGGCAAUCCCCUGGGCCUGCACUGACGCUCAUGCACGAAAGCGUGGGGAGCAAACAGG
rnacentral:rRNA from 1 species